rnacentral:rRNA from 1 species
UUNUGAACUGGGUGACUAGAGUGUNUCAGAGGGAGGUAGAAUUCCACGUGUAGCAGCGAAAUGCGUAGAGAUGUGGAGGAAUACCGAUGGCGAAGGCAGCNUCCUGGGAUAACACUGACGUUCAUGCCCGAAAGCGUGGGUAGCAAACAGGAUUAGAUACCCUGGUAGUCCACGCCCUAAACGAUGUCGAUUAGCUGUUGGGCAGCAUGACUGCUUAGUAGCGAAGCUAACGCGUGAAAUCGACCGCCUGGGGAGUACGGUCGCAAGAUUAAAACUCAAAGGAAUUGACGGGGACCCGCACAAGCGGUGGAUGAUGUGGAUUAAUUCGAUGCAACGCGAAGAACCUUACCUGGUCUUGACAUGUACGGAAUCCUCCAGAGACGGAGGAGUGCCUUCGGGAGCCGUAACACAGGUGCUGCAUGGCUGUCGUCAGCUCGUGUCGUGAGAUGUUGGGUUAAGUCCCGCAACGAGCGCAACCCUUGUCAUUAGUUGCCAUCAUUAAGUUGGGCACUCUAAUGAGACUGCCGGUGACAAGCCGGAGGAAGGUGGGGAUGACGUCAAGUCCUCAUGGCCCUUAUGACCAGGGCUUCACACGUCAUACAAUGGUCGGUACAGAGGGUAGCCAAGCCGCGAGGCGGAGCCAAUCUCACAAAACUGAUCGUAGUCCGGAUUGCACUCUGCAACUCGAGUGCAUGAAGUCGGAAUCGCUAGUAAUCGCAGGUCAGCAUACUGCGGUGAAUACGUUCCCGGGUCUUGUACACACCGCCCGUCACACCAUGGGAGUGGGGGAUACCAGAAGUAGGUAGGGUAACCGCAAGGAGCC